rnacentral:ncRNA from 1 species
UGGUCCCAGCCUUGGAAUCAAUUGUUACUUAAUAUACACAUGCAAGUCUCCGCACCCCUGUGAAAACGCCCUUAACUUCCUAACAGGAAUAAGGAGCUGGUAUCAGGCACAAUUCUUAGCCCAAAACACCUAGCCUACGCCACACCCACAAGGGAAUUCAGCAGUGAUUAACAUUGAGCAUAAGCGACAGCUUGACUCAGUUAAAGUAAAAAGAACCGGCAAAUCUGGUGCCAGCCGCCGCGGUUACACCACGAGGUCCAAAUUGACUCUUUUCGGCGUAAAGCGUGAUUAAAGUUUUUGAAACAAUUAUAGCUGUAUUAGAACUAAGCUGUGACACGCUUGUAUCUAAGAAACCCAAAAACGAAAGUUACUAUAUUUACAACCACUUGAAUUCACGACAGCUAGGACACAAACUGGGAUUAGAUACCCCACUAUGCCUAGCCGUAAACUUUAAAUUACAUCCAUAUCGCCAGGGAACUACGAGCAAAGCUUAAAACCCAAAGGACUUGACGGUACCCCACAUCCACCUAGAGGAGCCUGUCCUAUAAUCGAUAACCCCCGCUUAACCUCACCAUUUUUAGCCUAUCAGCCUGUAUACCUCCGUCGUCAGCUUACCUCGUGAGCGAUUUUUAGUGAGCUUAAUGUCCACACGUCAAUACGUCAGGUCAAGGUGCAGUAAAUGAAAUGGGAAGAGAUGGGCUACACUCUCUAACAUAGAAUAAACGAAAGACUAUAUAUGAAACCUAGUCAGAAGGCGGAUUUAGUAGUAAAAAGAGACCAUAGAGCCCUUUUUAACACGGCACUGGGGUGUGUACACACCGCCCUGUCACCCUCUUCAAAACUAAAAGAUAGUAUUUAACACAGUACAGUGAACCAGAAGAGGCAAGUCGUAACAUGGUAAGUAUACCGGAAGGUGUGCUUGGAAA